UACGUAGUGCCUGACAAAAGGAUAGCUUUGAUAGAGCUAAUAAUGUGUUCUAACUUCACCUACGUAA
rnacentral:tRNA from 1 species